AUUCCACCCAGUGAUUGACACAGACCACUCACCAUGGAGUUGGCGCUGUGCUGGGUUUUCCUUGCUGCUCUUUUAAAAGGUGUCCAGUGUGAGGUGCAGCUGGUGGAGUCUGGGGGAGGCUUGGUACAGCCUGGGGGGUCCCUGAGGCUCUCCUGUGCAGCCUCCGGAUUCAGCAUCAGUGGUUACUGGAUGAACUGGAUCCGCCAGGCUCCAGGGAAGAGGCCUGAGUGGCUCUCAUCCAUCAGUAGUAGUGGUGGUAGCAUAUACUACGCAGACUCUGUGAAGGGCCGUUUCACCACCUCCAGAGACAACAGCAAGAGCACAGUUUACCUGCAGAUGAACAGCCUGAGAGAGGAGGACACGGCCCUCUAUUACUGUGCCAGAGACGCUUUUGAUGUCUGGGGCCAGGGCACCCAGGUCACCGUCUCCUCAGCAAGCCCAUCUCCCCCAAGUGUCUUCCCCCUCGUCUCCUGCGAGAGCCCCCUGUCCGAUGAGAACCAGGUGGCCGUGGGCUGCCUGGCACAGGACUUCCUGCCCAGCUCCAUCUCCUUCUCCUGGAAUUACAAGAACAGAUCUGAGGUCAGCCAGGGCAUCACCACCUUCCCCACCCAGCAGAAGGGGGGCAAGUAUGUAGCCACCUCGCAGGUGCUCCUGCCCUCAAGGGAUAUCGUGGAAGGCACAGAUGACUACCUGGUGUGCAAAGUCAAGCAUGGUGACCACAACAAAGACCUACAUGUGCAUCUUCCAGAGGUCCGAGAGCAGCCUCCCACUGUGACCGUGUUCAUGCCCCCUCGAGAUGCCUUCUUUGGCACAAGCAAGUCCAGUCUUAUCUGCCAGGCCACAGGCUUCAGCCCCAAGCAGAUCACAGUGUCUUGGCUACGAGAUGGAAAGCCUGUGAUGUCUGGCUUUACCACUGAAGAGGUGAGGGCAGAGAUCCAAGAAUCCGGGCCCCGAACCUUCAGCAUCGUUAGCCAACUGACCAUCACCCAGUUUGAGUGGCUGGGGCAGAGCGUGUUCACCUGUCGCGUGGAUCACAAAGGACUCACUUUCAUGAAGAACGUGUCAUCCACAUGCAAUGUUGGUCCAUCCACAGACAUCCAAGUCUUCGCCACACCCCCCUCCUUUGCCGAUAUCUUCCUCACCAAGUCAGCCAAGCUGUCCUGCCUGGUCACAGACAUGGCCACCAGUGAAACCCUAAACAUCUCUUGGACACGCCAGAAUGGUGAGGCACUGCCAACCAACCUAACUAACGUCAACAGCCACCCGAAUGGCACCUUCAGCAGACGUGGGGAGGCGAGCGUCUGUGUGGAGGACUGGGAGUCUGGGGAGAGGUUCACGUGCACCGUGACCCACACAGACCUUCCCUCACCGGUGAAGCAGACCAUCUCCAAGCCCAGAGAUGUGGCCAAGCACCCACCCGCCGUGUACCUGCUGCCCCCAGCCCGGGAACAGCUGGUCCUGCGGGAGUCAGCCACAAUCAGCUGCCUGGUGAAGGCCUUCUCUCCCCCCGAUGUCUUUGUGCGGUGGCUCCAGGGGGGGAAGCCCUUGUCCUCGGACAAGUAUGUGACCAGCCCCCCGGUUCCUGAGCCCCAGGCCCCAGGCCUCUACUUCACCCACAGCCUCCUGACGGUGCCCGAGGAGGACUGGAACUCCGGGGAGAUCUUCACAUGCGUCGUGGCUCACCAGGCCCUGCCAUUCAUGGUGACAGAGAGGAACGUGGACAAGUCCACUGAGGGGGAGGUGAAUGCCGAGGAGGAGGGCUUCGAGAACCUCUGGACCACGGCCUCCACCUUCAUCGUCCUCUUCCUCCUGAGCCUCUUCUACAGCACCACAGUCACCCUGUUCAAGGUGAAGUGACUUGCCUAGGGAAGCACACUGGAGAUCUAAGGGCUGAGCCACAAGGGACCACCUCUGAGCUUGGCAGGCUCAAUCUGUGUGGCAGACAGACUUGUACCCAACUCUCCCGCAUGUCACCCUUCAGCUUUGAGCUUUGAAAUAGACUGGCCACCAAGGCCAGUGGAGCCCGUCUGUGGGUCUGCCUGCUUACUUCUGUGCUGUGCGCAUAUGUGGACCAAAAUAAACAGAUACUUUCUCCUGUGAAACCA